rfam:Halorhodospira halochloris str. A genome.
GGCGGAAGCGACCCGCCGGAGUCUGUCUGCAGGGAUUGGCUCCAAACCACCCUCGAGCGGCAUUGGUUGGAGACCGUUGUCGUGAGCGUCGGGGGAGAAGGCACAUCCACGUGGUGUGUCAGGU